AUUUCCAUCACUAUAUUGUGAGUAUAAAUACGUUAGGUACACUCAGCUUUAGACACACCCUAACACAACAAUACACACAUACACACACAGAUACAUUUGGAGUAAAGAUGAGCUGGACUUUUCUUCUCCUGUUUGCGUCUUUACCAUACGUCCACAGCAUCAGUCUGACCUCGUCUCCUGCUCAGGUGAAGCCUCCUGGGGAAUCUGUGAGGUUGUCCUGUCAGAUUUCUGGAUAUUCCCUCACAGACUAUGGAACAGUCUGGAUCCGGCAGCCUCCAGGUAAAGGCUUGGAGUGGAUCGGGAUCAUCUGGGGUGGUGGAAAAAUAGACUCUGGAGCUUCUUUUAAGAGUCGUUUCACAAUAUCCAGAGACACAAGCAGCAACGUGCUGUUCUUAGACAUCAGCAGACUGGAGUCUGGAGACACGGCUGUGUAUUACUGUGCCAAGACUGCCACAGCAGUACAGCUCAGUGUGAGCACUGUACAAAAACAUACACACACACGUGUUAGUGUCAGCUUUCUUUGUGCUCAAUGCACAACCAGCCAGAUUACACUGCUAGUGUAACACAGCUGCUUCGAAAUUAUGUUUUUUUUUUCCUCAUUAAAAAAUGUUUUCUCUGUCUGUAAAAUGCCAAUAUGUAGAGAACAAUUACAUCCAACACACCUACCAGACCACUCUGCUUCUAGAAUUUAUAUGUAAGACUGCAGGGAUGGUUAUGUCA